AUUGAACGCUGGCGGCAGGCCUAACACAUGCAAGUCGAGCGGAGCGGCGGAGGGGGGAGGAAGGGCUAGGAAUCUGCCAGGUAGUGGGGGAGAGGGUCCGGAAACGGGCACUAAAACCGCAUACUAUCAGAAUAGCCUAGGUCGGAUUAGCUAGUGGGUGGGGUAAGGGCCUACCAAGGCGACGGUCAGGAACUGGUCUGAGAGGAUGAUCAGCCACACUGGAACUGAGACACGGUCCAGACUCCUACGGGAGGCAGCAGUGGGGAAUAUUGGACAAUGGGCGAAAGCCUGAUCCAGCCAUGCCGCGUGUGUGAAGAAGGUCUUCGGAUUGUAAAGCACUUUAAGUUGGGAGGCGUUACCAACAGAAUAAGCACCGGCUAACUCCGUGCCAGCAGCCGCGGUAAUAC
rnacentral:rRNA from 1 species